rnacentral:rRNA from 1 species
UACGGGGGGGGCAAGCGUUGUUCGGAAUUACUGGGCGGAAAGGGUUUGUAGGUGGCCCGCUAAGUCACACGUGAAAUCCCUCAGCUUAACUGGGGAACUGCGUGUGAGACUGGCAGGCUCGAGGGCAGGAGAGGAACGCGGAAUUCCAGGUGUAGCGGUGAAAUGCGUAGAUAUCUGGAGGAACACCGGUGGCGAAGGCGGCGUUCUGGACUGUCUCUGACACUGAAGAACGAAAGCCAGGGGAGCAAACGGG